AAUGAACGUUGGCGGCGUGGAUUAGGCAUGCAAGUCGAGCGAGAACCCGCAAGGGGGACAGCGGCAAACGGGGUAGUAAUGUGUCGGUAACGUACCCCAAGGCCUGGGAUAGCUACGGGAAACUGUAGGUAAUACCGGACGAUCCCUGAAGGAUGAAAAGCUUCAGGGCAAAGGUGAGAUUCCGCCUUGGGAGCGGCGGGCAUGGUAUUAGGUAGUUGGCGGGGUAAUGGCCCACCAAGCCUGAGAUGCCUAGGGGGUGUGAGAGCAUGGCCCCCACCACUGGGACUGAGAUACUGCCCAGACACCUACGGGUGGCUGCAGUCGAGAAUCUUCGGCAAUGGGCGAAAGCCUGACCGAGCGACGCCGCGUGCGGGAUGAAGGCCUUCGGGUUGUAAACCGCUGUCAGAGGGGAUGAAAUUCUCCGGAGCUAUCUCCGGAGAUUGACAGAGCCUCAGAGGAGGCACGGGCUAAGUUCGUGCCAGCAGCCGCGGUAAAAC
rnacentral:rRNA from 1 species